ACAGUUUGAUCAUGGCUCAGGAUGAACGCUGGCGGCGUGCUUAACACAUGCAAGUCGAACGAUGAUCCGGUGCUUGCGCCGGGGAUUAGUGGCGAACGGGUGAGUAACACGUGAGUAACCUGCCCUUGACUCUGGGAUAAGCCUGGGAAACUGGGUCUAAUACCGGAUAUGACUCCUCAUCGCAUGGUGGGGGGUGGAAAGCUUUUUGUGGUUUUGGAUGGACUCGCGGCCUAUCAGCUUGUUGGUGGGGUAAUGGCCUACCAAGGCGACGACGGGUAGCCGGCCUGAGAGGGUGACCGGCCACACUGGGACUGAGACACGGCCCAGACUCCUACGGGAGGCAGCAGUGGGGAAUAUUGCACAAUGGGCGAAAGCCUGAUGCAGCGACGCCGCGUGAGGGACGACGGCCUUCGGGUUGUAAGCCUCUUUCAGUAGGGAAGAAGCCCUCUUUGGGGGUGACGGUACUUGCAGAAGAAGCGCCGGCUAACUACGUGCCAGCAGCCGCGGUAAUACGUAGGGCGCAAGCGUUAUCCGGAAUUAUUGGGCGUAAAGAGCUCGUAGGCGGUUUGUCGCGUCUGCUGUGAAAGACCGGGGCUCAACUCCGGUUCUGCAGUGGGUACGGGCAGACUAGAGUGCAGUAGGGGAGACUGGAAUUCCUGGUGUAGCGGUGAAAUGCGCAG
rnacentral:rRNA from 1 species